GACUACUGGGGUAUCUAAUCCUGUUUGCUCCCCACGCUUUCGUGCCUCAGCGUCAGUUUUAGGCCAGGUGGCCGCCUUCGCCACUGAUGUUCCUCCCGAUCUCUACGCAUUUCACCGCUACACCGGGAAUUCCACCACCCUCUCCCAAACUCUAGCCUCCCAGUAUCGAAUGCCAUUCCCAGGUUGAGCCCGGGGAUUUCACAUCCGACUUAAAAGGCCGCCUACGCACCCUUUACGCCCAGUAAUUCCGAUUAACGCUUGCACCCUUCGUAUUACCGCGGCUGCUGGCACGAAGUUAGCCGGUGCUUAUUCUUUCGGUACCGUCAUCCAUACCAGGUAUUAACCAGCAUGAUUUCUUCCCGAACAAAAGUGCUUUACAACCCGCAGGCCUUCUUCACACACGCGGCAUUGCUGGAUCAGGCUUGCGCCCAUUGUCCAAUAUUCCCCACUGCAGCCGCCCGUAGG
rnacentral:rRNA from 1 species